rnacentral:lncRNA from 1 species
AGUGGCACUGCUGCAGGCAGGGAAGACUGAAAGUGCAGAGAUGAGGCUUGGCAUGGCGGACUGGAAACGCACAAGGCGGACUUGGAUAUCUUUGUGUGCUUCUCGGGGCCCUCGGAAGGGUGUCUGUGUGGUUUCCGUGAGUCCAAGGACAGAGGUUCUUUCUCACAAGGACUGGUGUUUGCUUUUACGUGGACAGCCCAGACCACCUGGAACCAAGUGCACAGAAGCCCCACCAUCCCUGGGCCUCCCAGGUGUGAUGGGCGAGGGGUCCAGGUCCACAUGAACUCUGAGGCUCUUUGUGCUUGAAUCUUAGAGACGGGGUUUCACCAUGUUGGCAAGGCUGGUCUGAAACUCCUGACCUCAAGUGAUCUGCCUGCCUCAGCCUCCCAAAGUGCGGGCAUUACAGGCAUGAGCCACUGCGCCCGACCUCCCCUUCACCCCUUGUUCUGAGAGUCUGAGCUGGAAUCCUGGCUCUGCUGGGCCUCUCUGCACCUGUUUUCCAUAGGAAGAAGGAGGCUACCUUCGGAGGGUUACUGUGAGGGCCCCUUGCGGGCUUCAGCCUCCUCCCGGCCUGCCACCCUCCCUGGGUGCUCUCCGAAUCCCCGGGCACCAGUGUCUCCUAUGCUGCCUCCAGCUGCCCCCUACCUCCCAAGUUGCCAACUGGGGUGCCUCACAGGAGCCCCCAAACUGCCCUGAAGCCUGACCUCUCUCAGUGCUCCCCAUCUUGGCAUAGGGCAUCGCCUGCCAGAAAUCUGUGCAUGGCCUAACAGCCCCUCGCCCUCCACACCUGUGACAACCCCUAGGAGUGGCUUCCUCAACACCUCACCACCCUCGACACUGUCACUGUCACCUGUGUCCUGGCA